CCAGGCCAGAACUCCAUAAGCCAAAAAGCAAGGUACUGCAGCUGUUUCAUAUAUGAUUUCUGUUGUUCCUGGUAGGGCAUGCCCUAAAGGCUUAAGAAUAGUCUUUAAAAUCCCCAUUUUACAUUUUCAUACCCCAUCAUAUCCUUCCACUCAUGCCUCACCCCAGAGCACACCAUACCUGACUUCCUAAGAGAACUCCAUGUGGCCUGAUUCUAUCUCCAGACCACAUAUCAGCAACCAAAAGCCCACUACAAAACCACCAUUAAUAAAUGACAAAAACUAGUGGAAGC
rnacentral:lncRNA from 1 species